GUGCUCACUCUGGCAGCAUAUAUACUAAAAUUGAAAUGAUACAGAGAAGAUUAACAUGGUACCAACACAAGGAUGACACGCAAAUUUGUGAAGCGUUCCGUAUAGUU